CAAGACCCUGCUCUGGAUAAAUUCUCCUUGGAUCUGGCUUUUACCUUGCUGGCAGUCAGCAACUUACUUCCUGGAGAACCCUCUGUGGUUCAGCCUCCUGCCGAAUGGUAAAUACUUCAGUGAAUUUACCUCAGUUCAAGGACUGCUCUGAAUCCACACUAUCAGAUUGCAAGAUAGCUCUUCGCUUCACCUGCCCUGCCUGUCCACCCUCCAACUCUAUUCACCAUCUGGCGGAAAUUGCUCGCACAGCACACUUGCCUGUCUGCCUCAGUCUUCAUGGCUUGCUCACUUCUCCUCAGAACAAACACACUCAUCUACAAGUUGAACCUAUGCAGAUUGGCCGGACCUGCCUGACACCUGAAGAAAGAUCCAGACGUAUGACAUCAGACAGGUAAAGGCAGACCCCAGCAAGAUCCAAGCAGUAGUGGACUAGCCUAAAUCCAACUCCAGGAAGGAGCUUCGAAGAUUCCAGGGCUAAUUUCUACUGCAGGUUCAUCAGAAACGUCAGUCUUCUGGCUUCCCCCCUAACAGCUCUCACAUCUACGAAGGUUCCCUUUCACUGGACCCCACAUGCAGAAGAGGCAUCCCUGAGCCUCAAAGAAAGGUUCUCUUCAGCAACCAUCUUAGUGCACCCUGACCCCAAACUCCAGUUUGUUUUGGAGGUGGAUGCCUCCAAUACCGGACUUGACACUGUUCUCUCCCAGAAAUCAACUGCUGACGACAAACUCCAUCCUUGUGCCUUCUUCUCCCAACGAUUCACCCCCGGCGAGAAGAACUAUGAUGUGGGGGACUGGGAAUUGGCCAAUAAGUUGGCCCUAGAAGAGUGAUGUCAUUAGCUGGAAGGCACAUCUGAUCCCAUAAUCAUUUAGACUGACCACAAAAAUCUGGCCUACCUCCAACCUGCCAAAAGACUCAACUCUCGCCAAGCCCAUUGUUCCCUGUUCUUUUCCAGGUUUAACUUCACCAUUACCUACAGACCCGGUUCCAAGAAUAUCAAACCUGAUUCACUUUCUCACCUGUUCUACCCUGAUGACAAUGAUCCUGAGCCUGAGACAAUCGUUCCACAGACCUGUGUCGUCAGUUCCCUCACUUUGGGAAUCGAGGAACGUGUCCGCAGAGCUCAAGCUAACAAGCCUGAUCCUGGAGAAGGACCCCCUAAUCGUCUCUACAUUCCAUCAGCCACCACAUCACAAGUCAUACAUUAGGCCCAUGCUCCCUGUUUUUCUGGUCACCCUGGUUCACCUUUCACCUUUCGAGGCAUUUCUUGGCUAUCAACCCUCACUCCUCCCAUCCUCCUGUCUUGAGCCUAUUCUGCCCUCAGUCAGAGUCAAUUUUAACCGGUUCAAAAGAUCCUGGAAUCUCACUAAGGCUGCACUACAAUAAUCAUCACUUACCACCGAACGCCACGCUGAUUUGAGGAGGAGACUGGCACCCAACUACGUCCCAGGUCAAGAGGUAUGGCUCUCUUCUAAAAACUUCCCCCUCAAGGCCUACUCCCACAAACUUGCUCCAAGGUUCCUGGGCCCCUUCAAAGUUGACCGAAUCAUCAGUCCUUCAUCUGUUCGUCUCAAGCUUCCCUCUCACCUCAGAGUCCAAUCCUACUUUUCAUGUCUCCCAAAUUAAACCAGUCCUACCCAGUGCUCCUGUCUCUCUGGUGUGCUGCUCCAGAGUCUCCUGGUUCAGAACCCAUCAUGACAUAUACGUUUGGAGAAUUUUUGACUUUUUCUGUUUUCUUACACAGAAUUCCAUUUUCAUUUAGUGAUGGCACAGCACAAAGGGCAGUUUAUGGUUGUGUGAGGCAUCACUGUUGUACUCGCCUGGAAAACUUACAAAACUCCAGAACAUACCAUUACUCAACUGACUUCUGCCAAACUCAGUUACCACUUUAUCCACGGUUCUUCCCCAGCACUAGAAUGACUCAUCUUGCAAAUAAGAUAUAUUCUAUCCAUAAUUCACUUACUACAGUAUUACCUGAGCUCUUCCAAUCAGUCUUUCCCCUUCUUCAGACAAUCACCCGGGCUGCCGACUGAACAUAUGGGUUACUCUGCAUUAUUUAUACAUAACUUCAAUAUUGCAAUAAACAUCA